rnacentral:rRNA from 1 species
GAGGGAUAGUGGCGACGGGUGAGUAACACGUGGGCAAUCUGCCCUUCACUCUGGGACAAGCCCUGGAAACGGGGUCUAAUACCGGAUACGACUGCGGAAGGCAUCUUCCGCGGUGGAAAGCUCCGGCGGUGAAGGAUGAGCCCGCGGCCUAUCAGCUUGUUGGUGGGGUAAUGGCCUACCAAGGCGACGACGGGUAGCCGGCCUGAGAGGGCGACCGGCCACACUGGGACUGAGACACGGCCCAGACUCCUACGGGAGGCAGCAGUGGGGAAUAUUGCACAAUGGGCGAAAGCCUGAUGCAGCGACGCCGCGUGAGGGAUGACGGCCUUCGGGUUGUAAACCUCUUUCAGCAGGGAAGAAGCGAAAGUGACGGUACCUGCAGAAGAAGCGCCGGCUAACUACGUGCCAGCAGCCGCGGUAAUACGUAGGGCGCAAGCGUUGUCCGGAAUUAUUGGGCGUAAAGAGCUCGUAGGCGGCCAGUCACGUCGGAUGUGAAAGCCCGAGGCUUAACCUCGGGUCUGCAUUCGAUACGGGCUGGCUAGAGUGUGGUAGGGGAGAUCGGAAUUCCUGGUGUAGCGGUGAAAUGCGCAGAUAUCAGGAGGAACACCGGUGGCGAAGGCGGAUCUCUGGGCCAUUACUGACGCUGAGGAGCGAAAGCGUGGGGAGCGAACAGGAUUAGAUACCCUGGUAGUCCACGCCGUAAACGUUGGGAACUAGGUGUUGGCGACAUUCCACGUCGUCGUGCCGCAGCUAACGCAUUAAGUUCCCCGCCUGGGGAGUACGGCCGCAAGGCUAAAACUCAAAGGAUUGACGGGGCCCGCACAGCGCGAGCAUGUGGCUUAAUUCGACG